rnacentral:rRNA from 1 species
UACGUAGGCAGCGAGCGUUGUUCGGAUUUACUGGGCGUAAAGAGGGCGUAGGCGGUUUUCUAAGUUUGGUGUGAAAUCUCCCGGCUUAACUGGGAGGGUGCGCCGAAAACUGGAAGGCUUGAGUAUGGGAGAGGUAAGCGGAAUUCCUGGUGUAGCGGUGAAAUGCGUAGAUAUCAGGAGGAACACCUGCGGUGUAGACGGCUUACUGGACCAUAACUGACGCUGAGGCACGAAAGCGUGGGUAGCAAACAGG